rnacentral:rRNA from 1 species
AGCGAACGCUGGCGGCAGGCUUAACACAUGCAAGUCGAGCGGGCCCUUCGGGGUCAGCGGCAGACGGGUGAGUAACACGUGGGAACGUACCCUUUGGUUCGGAAUAACGCUGGGAAACUAGCGCUAAUACCGGAUACGCCCUUUUGGGGAAAGGCUUGCUGCCGAAGGAUCGGCCCGCGUCUGAUUAGCUAGUUGGUGGGGUAAUGGCCUACCAAGGCGACGAUCAGUAGCUGGUCUGAGAGGAUGAUCAGCCACACUGGGACUGAGACACGGCCCAGACUCCUACGGGAGGCAGCAGUGGGGAAUGUUGGACAAUGGGCGCAAGCCUGAUCCAGCCAUGCCGCGUGAGUGAUGAAGGCCUUAGGGUUGUAAAGCUCUUUUGUCCGGGACGAUAAUGACGGUACCGGAAGAAUAAGCCCCGGCUAACUUCGUG